UAGGGAAUAUUGGGCAAUGGACGCAAGUCUGACCCAGCCAUGCCGCGUGCAGGAUGAAGGCCUUCUGGGUUGUAAACUGCUUUUAUCUAGGAAGAAAACGCCCAUGCGUGGGAAACUGACGGUACUAGAUGAAUAAGCACCGGCUAACUCCGUGCCAGCAGCCGCGGUAAUACGGAGGGUGCAAGCGUUGUCCGGAUUUAUUGGGUUUAAAGGGUGCGUAGGCGGCCCGGUAAGUCAGUGGUGAAAGCCUCCAGCUCAACUGGAGAACUGCCAUUGAUACUGCCGGGCUUGAGUACAGACGAGGUUGGCGGAAUUGAUUGUGUAGCGGUGAAAUGCAUAGAUACAAUCAAGAACUCCGAUUGCGUAGGCAGCUAACUAGGCUGUAACUGACGCUGAGGCACGAAAGCGUGGGGAGCGAACAGG
rnacentral:rRNA from 1 species